UUUGUGUUACACAACACAAUCUCCUCUAAGUGAUAGUUGGCAGGCGCUAACUAGUAUUUAGAGGAGUUUUACAUUUCUUGCAAACACUGAUGUCCGGGUAACCCCUGAUAAAAUGGUUGCGAAAAAGUUUGAAAAAAGUCUUUACAGAAUUUUUUUAAAGAAUUUUUAGAUCUGGUUCUGUGUAGUUCUGUGUAUAUUUAUUUAGAGAGAGCACUGUGGAUCUGAGUUAGAUAGAGACAAAUUUUAGGAACAAGAGUCGAGUCGAAAUCGGUCACGUGUUAAAACGAUAGACAUGGAAAGGAAGCAUAACGGUAGAGUAAGAAAAGUGUUAAGAAUUUUGAAAAAUAUUGUUUUGUAGGUAGUAGAAGAAGAGUGUUAGGAGUAUUAAAUGGUUGAGGAAAAAUCGAAGCGGGAGCGAUGGAGUCACGUGACUAGCGCAUAGUUAAGAAAGCGAAAAAA
rnacentral:misc_RNA from 1 species